rnacentral:rRNA from 1 species
AGAGUUUGAUCCUGGCUCAGAAUCAACGCUGGCGGCGUGCCUGACACAUGCAAGUCGAACGGGUGCCAGUUGCCCGCAAGGGUGGCUGGCGCUAGUGGCGGACGGGUGAGUAACACGUGGGCAACCUGCCCAAGAGUGUGGGAUAACCCUGCGAAAGCAGAGCUAAUACCGCAUGUGGCUGCCGGAAGGCAUCUUCCGGCAACUAAAGUCGCAAGACGCUCUUGGAUGGGCCCGCGGCCUAUUAGCUAGUUGGUGAGGUAACGGCCCACCAAGGCUGUGAUGGGUAGCUGGUCUGAGAGGACGAUCAGCCACACUGGGACUGAGACACGGCCCAGACUCCUACGGGAGGCAGCAGUGAGGAAUUUUCCGCAAUGGGCGAAAGCCUGACGGAGCAACGCCGCGUGAGGGAUGAAGUCUCUAGGGAUGUAAACCUCUGUUGGGAGGGACGAAGAUCUGACGGUACCUCCUGAGGAAGCCCCGGCUAACUACGUGCCAGCAGCCGCGGUAAUACGUAGGGGGCGAGCGUUAUCCGGGUUUACUGGGCGUAAAGAGCGCGUAGGCGGCUCCGCAAGUUGGUUGUGAAAGUUCGAGGCUCAACCUCGAAACUGCGUCCAAAACUGCGGGGCUCGAGUGCAAGAGAGGCAAGUGGAAUUCCCGGUGUAGUAGUGAAAUGCGUAGAUAUCGGGAGGAACACCAGUGGCGAANGCGGCUUGCUAGCUUGCAACUGACGCUGANGCGCGAAAGCUAGGGGAGCGAACGGGAUUAGAUACCCCGGUAGUCCUAGCCUUAGACGAUGCUCACUAGGUGUCGGUGGUAUUGACGCCAUCGGUGCCGUAGCCAACGCAUUAAGUGAGCCGCCUGGGGAGUACGGCCGCAAGGUUGAAACUCAAAUGAAUUGACGGGAAGGG